ensembl:lncRNA
UGAUAAACAGAUUUCCUGAUCACGUUCAUUCAUUUGCUGUUUGCAUUUAAGCCAGUUUUGGUGUUCGAGAAUCUUCAGUUUCUGCAGUAAACACAGGAGCACAUGAUUCAUGAUGAUUUGUGUUUCUGUAUGUUAAACACUCACAUCACUGCAUCAAUGUCGCAGGCACCGGGUUUGCUCUGAUCUGGAAACCGAUCGCAGAAUGCUCCGUGGGAUUUUCUCUCAGUGGGAUUUGGGAAAGGCAAAUGCUGGAACAAAGCCUUCAUGCUUCAUGCUGAAAUUGGCUGUCUGUAUUCCGGUCCUGGACUCGGAGCUCCUAAUGGAAUAAAUUGGUUCCAAGAUGUUCAAUUUAACUGUGACCCAACACCUCGGAAAGAUGAUUCAUCUGAUAUGCAAACCAGAGCAUGACCAGCAGAUGACUUAUGAGAGAGGUUUUCUCCUGAUGUGAGGAAUCAGAAGCACAUUACUAAAGACAGAAACACAGCUGGGUCCAGAUCAUCAGCUCUGCCCGUCCUCCAGCUGGACCGCAGAAGGAAAUAAGACACAAAAGGUCAAAGAAAUUUGAGUCUUUCUGUCGUCCUUCCUUUCUCUCUGUCUGUCUGUUUGACAUUUGCUUCUCAGUUCAAUCGUUCCUCGUGAGCGUCCUGUCAUUCCAGUGAGGGUUUAAACUGGAUUCCUCUGAUUAUUUGAAUGUGGAUUUGCCAUGUUAUUUCUCCGUCUGUCUGCUGUGCUUUGCCUCCCAGUUCAUUAACUGUUCAUUUACACACUCCUCUUUCCUUCCGUCCGCUUCUCCCCAGUCUGCCAAUGAUUGUUUAUCAUCUCUGAUUCAGUUUUUAAUUAAAAUACUCCUCUGCUGAAGCUGUGGAGAGAUACGGGCCUGCUAAACCCUCAGGAAAGAUGAGCUGGGACUUGCUCUGCUUAUCAAUCAAUCUGCAUUAUAUUGCUUUUUAUUAUUAGUUCAUUCAAAUAAAAUGCAAAUUUGUGUGGUUUAUAAUCGUGUUGGCGGGCAAGUCUCACAUAGCCAAACUUUUGAAAAUAACCAUAAGAGUUCAGCUUGUUCUGAAAAACACAAUUUUUUUGUGAUAUAUAUUGGUGUGAAACUAUUUUAUAUAGCAGGUUUUGCUGAACUUAGUGGUUGUGAAAUGAUAAAAAGCUAAUAAUUAAUUAAAUCAUGA